rnacentral:tRNA from 1 species
GCGGGCGUGGCGGAACUGGUAGACGCGCAGGAUUUAGGAUCCUGUGGGCGAAAGCUCGUGGAGGUUCGAUUCCUCUCGCCCGCA